UGGUGACUGACGUGGCCACAGGCAGGGAGGGGACAUCAGGGCCAGAGAAGCCCAGGUCCAGCGGGAAGAGGCUUCCAGAAAAAGGCAGAGCAUCAGAACCGUGAUUGCAGGGAUUUUAUCCCUAUGGCCAAGACUGAGUCAGUAGCGAUGUUAGCCUUGAGCUGACCGAAGGAAAACUAGGAAAUGAGAACACAUCUUGGACCUGCUAAGACCUUGCUGUGGACCAUGAAUGACGGAAGGGUGGGCAGCAUGGAGCUGGCCCGGGCUCUGCAGACUGUUUCUGGAAAGGGCCAGGGAGUAAACAGUUUAGGUUCUGUGGCCACUCGGUCACUGUUGCAACCACUCGGCUCCGCCCUUGUACGGUGAAAGCCGCCGUGGACGACAGGCAAAUGAGUGGUCGUGGCCUUGUGCCAAUAAAACUUUAUUUGUGGGCCCUGAAA